UACAGAGGUCUCAAGCGUUGUUCGGAUUCAUUGGGCGUAAAGGGUGUGUAGGUGGCGCGCUAAGUCGGGUGUGAAAUUUCGGAGCUUAACUCCGAAACUGCAUUCGAUACUGGCGUGCUUGAGGACUGGAGAGGAGACUGGAAUUCAUGGUGUAGCAGUGAAAUGCGUAGAGAUCAUGAGGAAGACCAGUGGCGAAGGCGGGUCUCUGGACAGUUACUGACGCUGAGGCACGGAGGCCAGGGGAGCAAACGGG
rnacentral:rRNA from 1 species